UUUUUGCCUGCCGCCAUCCACGUAAGGUAUGAUUUGCCCCUCCUUGCCUUCUGCCAUGAUUGUGAGGCCUCCCCAGCCACGUGAAACUAGGAAAGUUUGAAGCUUCUAUAAGCAUAAAACCUUGAACUGAGUCACUGGGAACCUGUGAGAGGCUUCUGCAGGCACACGGCAGCCUCCACGAUGUUCUCUCCUCAUUCACGUCUGCCUGCUGCACACCCCAAUUCUCACGCACACCGCCGUUCUGGUCUCCUCCCUGCUAACAGGGAAUUCCCUGGUAAAAAGCUGUUCAGCAUGAGGCGACUCAGAAGGAGCAUGAGCAGAGAUGACCCUAAUAGGUGGUGCCAACACAGUUUCCCUGAGAAGUUGAAAUCGAGGACUGGUGCCCACUGAGGAGGUCUGAGGAGAGGAGGACUCAGAGCAGCCAGAUGCAUCAGGCCCCUCCUGAAGUCUCCGACAGCACGCUGUUCAUUUAGUUGUGAAUUCUAAGGCAAAGACUAUGACUCUGGACCACGCAUUCAAUUAGGGAGGGGAAAACUACCCUCUACUAGAAUAUCACUGAAGGAAGAAAUAGAAGCUCUGAAAUGUCCCUUCUCAAUAAUGUUGGGAAAGGAAGGUUGGGACAUUCAUCCCCAUGACAACUUUUAGAAAGCAUAAGUAUCCAAUUGCUAACAUUGAUUGCUUAUAUUAUAGAAUUAGUUUAAUUUUUUAUGGUGUCUAAAAUAUGGUCAAGUCAGAGCAGUAAGUUCUAAUUUUGAGUUCUGCCCUGCUCCGAAGCAGAAGGAGAGUGCAUGAGAUUAUAUAAAGACUCAGAGAAGAGAUACAGCUCCUCCCGCACCAGAGAAAUGCAGCUCCGUGAGCCCCGAUGGAGCCAGCAUGCUGCUGGGUGCUGAGGAGCAGGCAGAGGCACCCAGGAUGGCGGUCCCCAAGGAGAACGGAGGCACAGAACAACGCAUGAGGGGCCACAUGACUUAGGGCCGGGAUCGGUCACUCAGCCAGCAAAAACACUGGAAGAAAACAAAACAACUUCAGACUCUAUGCUGCAUUUCCGUAAUAUAUCUGCCCAAAGACUGGACAACAAAGGUAAAGGAGGCUGAUGAGGAAACGAAAGGAUCCGUGGUUCUUGGCUCGCUGGGUGGCUCAUCAACAAAGCCCCAGCAUCACUCCUGCAGAUGCCCUAGCCUGGCCUGGGCUGGGAUGGGCAAAAUUCACCAUGGGACUCUUGUUCAAGAGAGGGAGAUCAAAGCCAGAAACACUUACCCAGAAUGGCCAUGCAGACUAAAAUUCCAAUUCUAAAAAUACUUUUAAAAUGUAACGUACAACAAAGGAAAGCUGGAAAAAUAUUUAAAAAAGGAUGAAAGGGCAAGAAAAAUUCAACCCACGACCUCAAGGCGAUUAUAAUCUGUGUUCUGCUGCUUCCCAGAGCCGCUUCAGUCUUCAGCUCAGAGUCUACCAGACACUAAAAUGCAACUGAACACUCAGUUCAUACUUGUUCUUCUAAUUAGCUGCCUCUUCCAUUUGAUUAAUAUUGCCUCCUAAUUUAAUUGUAAAUUGUAUUUCUGGUUUAUAUUUCGCUUCUCCCUCCUGUUGUACCUGGUGACCAUCUUCAUUAAUCAUAUUGUAGCUUUUUAAUGAAUCUCAUAUGCCAAUUUAUGGUGAACAAGACUUGAUAUGAAGGCAUCUUCAUCAAAUCAUUCAUAAUCUUGUAACUAUUGGUUUAUUUUCUGUAACGACCUAUAAAUGUACACCAAAAAAAUGAAAGAUUCCCCCUAAAAUGUAAUGGGACAGAACUUUGUUUACGUAGAUUUCUGAGGAUGGGUUGAGACGCCAAAUUCCGCUUGUGUUUGGAAUUUCUAUUUCACUGGGCUUAGUGAGGGUGCCCAUGUUUUGCAAUCCUGUGCUCUAGAAUCUAUCAUAAACAGAUUCUUCUAAUUGUUUGACAUUAAACUGCAAAUUUGUGUUUUUGUGUCUGCUCAAAUAUAAAAUGUCUUUGGGAAAAAUACAGAGAAUGGUUCGU
ensembl:lncRNA LINC01029 long intergenic non-protein coding RNA 1029